GGCCGGUUGGCCCAAUGGCAAGGCGUCUGACUACGACUCUCUCAAGAUCUCAAGUCAGGGAUCAGAGGUUGUGCAAAUCAGGAGAUUCUGGGUUCGACCCCCAGGCUGGUCA